rnacentral:rRNA from 1 species
GACGAACGCUGGCGGCGUGCUUAACACAUGCAAGUCGAACGGACAGGCCCUGCUCUUGCUGCUUUCUCGUUUGGCGAACGGGUGAGUAUCACGCGAGUAACCUGCCCCUGACUUUGUGAUAUCUUUACGAAACUGCGGCUAUUACCGGAUAGAAUCUCUUGCUGCACGUUGUUCGUUGGAAAGUUUCGGCGGUAGGGGAUGGACUCGCGGCUUAUCAGCUUGUUUGGCGGGUAGUGGCUGACCAAGGCUGUGACGGGUAGCCGGCCUGAGAGGGUGAACGGCGACAAGGGGACUGAGAGACGGAGCAGAAUGCUACGGGAGGCAGUAGGGGGGAGUAUGACAGAAUAAGCGGAAGUCAGAGACGGAGACGCCGCGUGCGGGAAGACGGCCUACGGGUGAUAAACAGAUGUCGAAGGAGACGAAGAGGGAGUGACGGUAAUGGGUAAAGAAGCAACGGCUAACUACGUG